rnacentral:rRNA from 1 species
CCUACGGGGGGCUGCAGUGGGGAAUAUUGGACAAUGGGGGGAACCCUGAUCCAGCCAUGCCGCGUGUGUGAAGAAGGCCCUCGGGUUGUAAAGCACUUUCAGUGAGGAAGAACGCCUGGUGGUUAAUACCCAUCAGGAAAGACAUCACUCACAGAAGAAGCACCGGCUAACUCCGUGCCAGCAGCCGCGGUAAUACGGAGGGUGCGAGCGUUAAUCGGAAUUACUGGGCGUAAAGCGCGCGUAGGUGGCUUGAUAAGCCGGUUGUGAAAGCCCCGGGCUCAACGUGGGAACGGCAUCCGGAACUGUCAAGCUAGAGUGCAGGAGAGGAAGGUAGAAUUCCCGGUGUAGCGGUGAAAUGCGUAGAGAUCGGGAGGAAUACCAGUGGCGAAGGCGGCCUUCUGGACUGACACUGACACUGAGGUGCGAAAGCGUGGGUAGCAAACAGGAUUAGAUACCCCUGUAGUC